CAAUAUCUUUUUCUCCAGAGGGGAUCGGAGACCUCUGGCAAUCCGAGGGUCUUGAAUAUUUUUGACCCAGGUUAAC
ensembl:misc_RNA